AUGGGUUCACCCCAGACACAGGCUCCCCACAGACACGGGCCCCCCGAGGACACGGGCUCCCACGGACACGGGCUCGCCUCUCCCGACUGUCCUGCCGGCCCCGGGCUCCGAGAAUGCCCAGCCACAGCCGCAGCAGUCGCGCCUCGAGAGCAGAGCCACCGGGGGGGACCGAGGGGGCCGCGGGGGAACCCGCUGGGGAGGCGGCUCCCUGGGCUCGUCCAUGCGGCUCAGGGGCCAGCUUCUCCCCUUCCUUCUGAGAGAAGCAGGACGCAUGGACUUUCCGCGGAGGGUCCCCUGCGUGACCGUGGUGCACGUGUGAGCAGGUCAGGCCCUCUGGCCUCCUGGCUGUGGGAGCGCGGCCGUUCCUUCCAGAACGCAGGGCUGGUGCCUCUGUCUGGGGAGCCGUCCUGGAGCCUCCCCGCGGCCGCGCACACCCCCCCCCCCCGCGCUGCCCCCUCGGUGCCAGGCGCCUCCAGGGUCGAGACCUCUGUCCCGCGUGCAGCCUGGAGCCCGAGGGCAGACGGCCACACGUCGGGUGUAACCGGAUCACCGGCUCCGUUGGCGGAGCGCGUGGUCGCCUGGGGCCGAGGAGCCGUGGCCUGGGGCCAGCAGGCCCUGCAGGUGACCGGAUGGUGGCACUCGCCGUGGGCCGCACAGUCGGGCCCCACAGGUCCGCGGGCCAUCGUGACCCCCUGCUUCCCGGUCUGGUGGAGAAGCGGGGCUUCCAGGCAAAUAUGCACCCCACGUCCCAAGCCGCGGCCGACGGAGACCGUGCCCAGCCCGGUGCGUGCAACAGGGACACGUGCUCCCCCUUCCCCCCACGCUCAUCAGGCCACAACUGGGAGGGCUCGCUCUAGGUGUGCACGGCGGCCCUUCGGCACACGUAGGUGCUGCGAGAUGCUGACCAAGGUGACGUCAGCUCCCGCCUCCCGCCUCGAGCGGCCACCUCCGUGGGGUCGUAAGAACGGGUCCCGGCCGUGGGCAGCCUACGUGGGGGCCAUACGGCAGCGUCGAGGGCCGUCACCGUGGCCCCACCGUGGCUCCUGCGACCCCCGCCAGCUCAGCUCCUCUCCUCCUUUCACACAGAGGUGA
rnacentral:lncRNA from 1 species